GUAUUAUAGCACAGUUGCUUAGAGCUUGGCGUUGAUAACGCCAAGGUUGCAAGUUCGAUCCCUGUGUGGGACA
rnacentral:tRNA from 1 species